UGUUGAAGUAAGGGUCCAAAACAAUGAAUUUGACCCUAAGGAGUUGUUUAAGUCUCCCCCUUGUGUUUUAAAGUUAAUUUCUGCAAUCUAAGUGAAUUCUAAGUCUCAAUUUCAUUGCUUUGCUUACUAUUGCUUGAAGAACGUUUGUUUUCCCUUUCCUUUCCUUGUUAGCCAAUACCCCAAGCCCCAUUACAACCCUUAACUUCUAUCUUGAGUGUUAUGUGUUUCAAUUUGUGGAGUUUGAAUUUGGUAUGAGCAUAUGGUGUCACUGGUUCUCGCAUCUAAGUAGUAGCAUUCCAUUCAUGAGAUCAUAUCUAAACAUGCUUCUUAACUCUAGAAAUUGCGUUCUUUGUGAUACAUAUAUGUGAGCAUUCGUUUUCAUAUCUACAUCAAUCUUCUCACAUAUGACUAGUGUAGGGUGUGUAGUUAGAAAAUCUGAGUGAAAAUAGAGUGUAUAUCUUGUAAGGAAUUGAGGGAAUUCUCUAAGGCAUGUUACUACAUUCAAAGCAUUGUUUUAAUUGAUUACUUGUGAACUAGUAAGUAGUGGCUUAAAUUAAGUAUGUGCUUGUGUAAAGAUGACUCAAAUCUGUGGGGAUAACAAUCUUUAACAUGUCAUGUGCAUUGGAAAUCCUUGAGGCAAACGUUGGAAGGUUUAGGUUUUGUUGGUUAGUUUGUUUCGUUUUGUUUCCUUCCUUUUGUUUGUUUUGCUCGAGGACUAGCAAAAGCUAAGUGUGGGGGGAAUUUGAUAGGAGCGUAUUUAUGCGCCAUAGUUAGCUAGUUCUUAUGCAUUUCCAUGGUGUUUUCUUAGUUAAAGUAGUCUUUUAAGCUAGUUUUAUAUGUUUUCAGGUUUUAAGGCCAAAGGAUGCAAGAAGAUGCAUUUUGGAGCUUUUUGGAGCAAAAUUGGGCUUGGAAUGAUUAUCACAUAAUUGGAGCCAAGGUUUGGACGAAUUUGAGGACUUGAAGAUGAUGAUUCCUACUUGAACAAGGUUUCCUAGUUGAAGUAGGAAAGUGCUUACAUGAAGGAGGAUUCCUAAUCGACGAAGGAUUCCUAAUCGACGAAGGAUUCCUAAUCAACGAAGGAUUCCUAAUUGAAGAUGGAUUCCUAAUCACAUGAGGAUUCCUAAUUGAAGAUGGAUUCCUAAUCACAUGAGGAUUCCUAGAAGAACAAGGAUUCCUACUCCAACAAGGAUUCCUACUUGAAAUAGGAAAGUUAAGCCAAAGUUUCCUACUUUGGUUUGAUUUUUCCUAAAUGUCCCUAAAAGUUCCAGCAAUUAUGAAGACUUCCUAAGCAUUCUAGGACAUCAAAUACACAUCUCUUGCACCUUUUGAACCCUUGCCACACUCCCCUUGGUAUUUCCUCUUCCUUAUUUCCUGAUUCUAGGCUUUAAAACACUUUCCUUUUGUGUUUUAAACCCUAGCCGAAUUUCCCUUGCUAUUUCCUUUAAGUUUCUGAUUUUAUUUCCUAAUUCUAGAAUCCUUAGACUUAAUUUCUGAUUUCCUAAUCAACCUAGGGUUUUAAUUUCUGUUUUCCUUUAAAUAAACCUCUUGGUUGCAGCCACAAAAAAUCCCCAUUCAUCCAGAAACUCACCAUUCACGCCAGAAACUGAACUUCAUCUUCAACAGCCCCAUCCUACCACCAUUCACCCAAAUUUCUGCCACAAAACCACCCUAGCCGCACCACCCAUCAACCCUAAACACUUCCAUACGUCCUCCAUCCAUUCUACAUCAUCAAAACAGCCCAGGAACCACCAACAUCCAAUCUGCCGCAAGCAAGGAAAGGGGACAGAUUCUCUACAAUUGUUUGGCUUUUCAAUCUGAGUUGUUGAACGAUUUUAGGUAUUUUCUAUCUUAUAUUUCAAUGUCUAAUUCAUGUAAUCUUUGUUUUGCAUUGAGUAUGAUUGGCUAAAUUCGUUUUGGCUAAGGGUGGAUUCAAAACCAUGAUUAGAUAUGUGAAAUAAGUUGAUUACUUUCAGUUAUCGUUGCAUAAGUCGUGAAUACAAUUUGCUUAACCGUUUGAUUUAGAACUUAUUCUUGUAUGUUGAUUGAGAGUGCACGCUUAAUUUGCAUGCUUGAAUUUGAUGCUAGGAUAUAAGUUUGUUUCACCUAAUCGUUAUGAAUUUAUAUUCAAAAGUAGUGAAGGUCGCUAGUCACGAUCGUGUUAAGUAGAUUCAUGGCAAGAGUAUCAUGCUUUUCAUAGUUACAAAUGCCUUGUCGAUGCUUAUGAUUUCCAAAGAACUUAAUGAUUCUAACUUGUAUCUUUAUCAUGCUGUUCAUAUAGAGAACUUGUUAGGAAUAAUUUGUUUGCGAUGCAUAUUCAUCCAAUUCAAUGAUUCUAGGGAAAUCUGAAGGUUAAUUUAAGCGGACCUAAUUAACUUGGAGUGUCGAGGUUCAUAACUUAUUGAAUUGAUAACUGGAAAUUGAUUUACGUUGCAUAUAUUUCAUGUGUGGAGAAGAACCCCUUAGCCGUUCCAUCAUCCAUUGAUUCAUCACAAUUUUGUCUACAAUCUGUUUUCUUUACAAUCUGCCAUUUAAUUUAAAUUCGUCCAAAAUCAACCCCACUUUAUUUCUUUGAGUCAUAUUAGUUAGAACUUGUCUUAGAUUAUGUUUCUAAGUGUUUUAGGUCAUUAGAAAACCAAAAUUCGUCCACGUUUGCAUUAGAGUCCCAAAACUGCCCAGAAAGUGUUUUAAGGCAGUUUUGAGUGUUUUUGGUGCUGUUUUGAGUCUUUUGAUUUGUUUUAGUGUUUUAGAGUUUAGUUUUGCAUUCUUUGAGUCUAGUCGAGUGUUUUAAACAUUGUUUUACAUAUUUGAGUCAGUUUAGAGUGUUUUAGCAAUCCCUCCUAAUCCCCGGUUUAAGAACGAUCCCUACUUAUCCAUACUACAAUUGUCAACAAGAGGGUUUAAUUUGUGUGUUAGUUUAUAACGCAUCACUCAAUUCAAUAAACUUUGUGUUGUGAGUAUGAGGAACUAAACCCCCUUAGUUGGGGGGUGAUUCGAAACCAUGUACAUGCUUGCAAUAUGAUUUGAUUACAUUCAGUUGUUAUUUCAUAAGUUGUGGAUUCAAUUCGUUCAUCUAUUUGAUUGAUAACUUAUUUGUGUAUGUUGAUUGAGAGUGCACGCUUAGUUUUCAUGCAUGAAUAUGAUGCUAGAUUAUGAGGGAGUUUCACCUAAUAGUUACAAUCUUAUAAUCACAAGUAGUGAAGGUUGCUUGAAAACGAUCGCGUUGAAUGAAUUCUUGGCAUAAGUUUCAUGCAAUUCAUAGUAACGAAUGCUUCGUCAAUGCUUAUGUUUUUCAUAGAACUUAAUGAUUCUUGCUUGAAUCUCUAUUAUGCAAUUCAUGUAGGGAACUCGUAGGGAAUGCUUUGGAUUGUCGUAUGCAAUCAUCCAACUCAAUAACUCGUGGAAAAACUGAGGGUUAAUUAGUGCAAUUCACGGUUAAUUUGGGGCGUUGAGUAUUCAUAAUUUAUUGGAAGAACAACUGAAAAUCGUUUUGUUUGCAAGUGUGACAUGUGUGGAGAAGAACCUCCUAACUAGCCUUUUAUCCAUCCUUUUCAUCCAAAAACGUUUUACAAUCUGUUUUGUUUAGAGUUUCUGUUUUGUUUCAAUUUUCGUCCAAAACAAAUCCCCCUUUAUUUUGAAGUCUUAGAUUAAUUAGAAUAUGUUUUGAUUUGUGUUUCUAAGUGUUUUGAUUCAAGUUUUCACCCAAAUUCGUCCAAGUUCUUGUUAGGUUCUCAAAACUGCCCAGAAAGUGGUUUUAGGCAGUUUUGAGUUUUAUGUUUGUUCAAGUGUUUUAAACUUUAGUUUUGCAUUCUUUGAGUCUAGUUUAGUGUUUUAAACUUUGUUUUUAUGUUUUUAAGUCAGUUUUCAAGUGUUUAGCAAUCCCUCCUAAUCCCCGGUCUAGAACGAUCCCUACUUACAUCUUUACUACAAUUUGACAAAAAGAUGGUUUAAUUUGUGUGCUUAUUUAUUUCGCAUCAGGCUACGCACCCGUAAAGAUCUUUUACAUAUGUUUGGUAAAUGAUUGAACGAAAAUAAUGCUAAAGCAAAAGUGUAGGACGUAGGAUAAAAAUUUUGGAGGUGCUAUGACGAAAUGAUGAUAUGUUAUGAUACAUUGUCAUUGAAUUAAAAAAAAAUAAAAAAUAAAAACUCAGAAUGAAGAAUUUAUAAACGAGGAGGACAUCAUUCAAGGAUUAUGUAAAUGAUGCGUAAAAUAACUAAACACACAAAUUAACCCUCUUGUUGACAAUUGUAGUAUGGAUAAGUAGGGAUCGUUCUUAAACCGGGGAUUAGGAGGGAUUGCUAAAACACUCUAAACUGACUCAAAUCUGUAAAACAAAGUUUAAAAUACUAAACUAGACUCAAAGAAUGCAAAACUAAACUCUAAAACACUAAAACAAACCAAAAGACUCAAAACAGCAAACAAACACUCAAAACAGCUGUAAAAACCACUUUCUGGGCAGUUUUGGGACUCUAACACAACUUGGACGAAUUUUGGUUUUCUAAUGACCUAAAACACCUAAAAACAUAUUCUAAGACAAGUUCUAGUUAAUAUGACUCAAAGAAAUAAGAUGGGGUUGAUUUUGGACGAAAAUAAAUAAAACAAAGCAAGAACAAUGUAAACAGAUUUUUAGAUAGAAUUAAGUAAAUUGAUGGGUGAUAGACUAACUAGAGGGUUCUUCUCCACAUAUGAUAUACUUGCAUUCAACUUUGAUUUCCAAUUGCUUCUUUCAAUAAACUAUGAAUCUCAACACCCUAGGUUAACUGUGAUUGCACUUUUUUAACCUUCAAGUUUUCCUAAAGUUAGUGAACAUGCAACAACUCAAAACAUUCUCUAAAAGUCCCUUACGUGAAAAGCACAAUAAAGGUACAAUCAAAGAUCAUUAAGCUUCAUGAAAACUAUAAGCAUUGACGAGGCAAUUGUUACUAUGAAAAGCAUGAAACGUUUGCCAAGAAUUCACUUAACACGAUCGUUUAUAAGCGACCUCCACUACUUGCAAACAUAAGGUUGUAACCAUUAGGUGAAACUUCCUUAUGUUUUACCUUCAAAUUCCUGCAUGAAAACUAAGUUGGCCACCUUAAUUAACACACAAAAAUAAGUCAUCAAUCAAACGGUUAAGCAAAUUGCAUUCACAAUUCAUGAAUUAACAAUUAGACGUAAUCAAUUCAUCUUGCAAGCAUAAUCAUGGUAUCGAAUAACCCCCUAGCCAAAAAGGCUUAGUUCCUCAUGUUCACAAAACAAAGGAAAACAGAUUUAUACAUUGUAAAUAUAAGAAAGAGAACACCUAAAUAUUCCAACGAUUCGAUGUUGAACAGCUAGAACCUUCAAGUAUUUCUUCUUCCUCUCCUUUGUUGCGGCACAAGGGUUGGGGGUGAGUUUUUGGGAGUUAUGGAUGAUGUAGAAUGAUAGGUUUAUGGGUUGGAUGAAUGUAGGGGUCGGCUAGGUAUGUUUCUGGGCAGAAAUUAGGGUGAAUGGUGGUAGAAUGGUGCGGUUGAGAGUGGAGGCUAGUUUCUGGCGUGAAUGGAUAGUAGAUGGAUGUCUUUGUGGCUGCAAAAGAGAGUUUUAUUUAAAGGAUUUCAGGAAUUAAAACCCUAGGUUAUUUAGGUAAUCAGAAAUUAAGUCUAAGGCUUCUAGAAAUAGGCAACAAAAUCAGAAAAUUAAAGGAAAAGGCAAGGUAUAUGCGGCAAGGGUUAAAAAUAGAUUAGGAAAGUGUUUGAAUGCAAGGAAUCAGGAAACAAUCCUCUCCCUUGCACGACAAGGAAGAGGAAAUACCAAGGGGGUGCGGCAAGGGUUCACAAUGUGCAAGGGAUGUGUAUUUGAUGUCCUAGAAUGCUUAGGAUGCCUUCAAAGUUGAUAAAACUUAGGAACAUUUAGGAAAGGUCAAACCAAAGUAGGAAACCUUGGCUUAACUUUCCUAUUUCAAGUAGGAAUCCUUGUUCUUCUAGGAAUCCUCAUGUGAUUAGAAAUCCAUCUUCAAUUAGGAAUCCUUCGUUGAUUAGCAAUCCUAAUUUCUUCAAGUCUUCAAUUCAUCCAUUCCUUUUGCUCCAAAAGGCUCCAUAUUACAUCAUUUUGCACACUUCGGCUUUGGAAUCUGAAAAAACACAAAAGUGACUUUAAACACUAAAAUAACUAAGGAAACACAACGUAAAUUCACGAGAACAAGCCAAUUAAGUCGCAUAAAUAUGCUCCUAUCAGUAAAUCCAAUAAAAUCGUAGCUCUAUAAAUGUAGAGAUCCUGAGAAGAAAAGCUAAACAUUCCAAAGCAACAAAGAUUAGAACAAAGGCUACACCAGCUACAAACAACAACAGGAUCACCACCUAACUUUACUACCUUACAUAAUAAUAACACUCGCGCAUGCCAAAGGCCUUUUAUUUUAAUCACAAGGGCUACGCACCUGUAAAGAUCUUUUACAUAUGUUUGGUAAAUGAUUGAACGAAAAUAAUGCUAAUGCAAAAGUGUAGGAUGUGGGAUAAAUUUUUUGGAGGUGCUAUGACGAAAUGAUGAUAUGUUUUGAUACAUUGUCAUUGAAUGAAAAAAAAAAAUACUCAGAAUGAAGAAUUUACAUUCAUAAGACAUUACAAAAACAAAGAAGGCAAUCAUGGUGUAACAUUCCUAGAUUAAUCCUAGUAGUAUAUUAUAUGCGUUUAUUUGCUUAAGUUCCAAAGGGUGACAAACGCAUGCUUGUUUGAUCACAUUGAUAGGAGCAUAUUUAUGCGCCUUAGUUAGCUAGUUCUUAUGCAUUUUCGUUAUGUUUUCUUCCUUAAAGUAGUCUUUUAAGCUACUUUCUUGUGUUUUCAGGUUUAAAGGACAUAUUACAUGAAAUGAUGCAAUUUGGAGCUUUUGGAGCAAAAAGUGAGCUUGGAUUGAAAAGGACAUGCUUGGAACACAAGGUUGGGAUUGAUAGGAGCAUAUUUAUGCUACUUAAUUGGCUUGUUCUCAUGCAUUUAGGUUGUGUUUACUUAGCUAUUUUAGUGUUUAAAGUCACUUUUGUGUGUUUUCAGGUUCUAAGGUCAAAGUGUGCAAAAAGAAGCAAAAUGGAGUUUGGAAUGCAUGUCACAUAUUUGGAGCCAAGGUUUGGACGAAUUUGAAGGCUUGAAGAUGAUGAUUCCUACUUGAACAAGGUUUCCUAGUUGAAGUAGGAAAGUGCUUACAUGAAGGAGGAUUCCUAAUCAACGAAGGAUUCCUAAUUGACGAAGGAUUCCUAAUUGACGAAGGAUUCCUAAUUGAAGAUGGAUUCCUAAUCACAUGAGGAUUCCUAGAAGAACAAGGAUUCCUACUUGAAGUAGGAAAGUUAAGCCAAGGUUUCCUACUUUGGUUUGAUUUUUCCUAAUUGUCC
rnacentral:lncRNA from 1 species